rnacentral:rRNA from 1 species
UGCAAGUCGAGCGGAUGAAGGGAGCUUGCUCCCUGAUUUAGCGGCGGACGGGUGAGUAAUGCCUAGGAAUCUGCCUGGUAGUGGGGGAUAACGUUCCGAAAGGAACGCUAAUACCGCAUACGUCCUAUGGGAGAAAGCAGGGGACCUUCGGGCCUUGCGCUAUCAGAUGAGCCUAGGUCGGAUUAGCUAGUUGGUGAGGUAAUGGCUCACCAAGGCGACGAUCCGUAACUGGUCUGAGAGGAUGAUCAGUCACACUGGAACUGAGACACGGUCCAGACUCCUACGGGAGGCAGCAGUGGGGAAUAUUGGACAAUGGGCGAAAGCCUGAUCCAGCCAUGCCGCGUGUGUGAAGAAGGUCUUCGGAUUGUAAAGCACUUUAAGUUGGGAGGAAGGGCAUUAACCUAAUACGUUAGUGUUUUGACGUUACCAACAGAAUAAGCACCGGCUAACUUCGUGCCAGCAGCCGCGGUAAUACGAAGGGUGCAAGCGUUAAUCGGAAUUACUGGGCGUAAAGCGCGCGUAGGUGGUUCGUUAAGUUGGAUGUGAAAGCCCCGGGCUCAACCUGGGAACUGCAUCCAAAACUGGCGAGCUAGAGUACGGUAGAGGGUGGUGGAAUUUCCUGUGUAGCGGUGAAAUGCGUAGAUUGAGGAAGGAACACCAGUGGCGAAGGCGACCACCUGGACUGAUACUGACACUGAGGUGCGAAAGCGUGGGAGGAAAACAGGAUUAGAUACCCUGGUAGUCCACGCCGUAAACGAUGUCAACUAGCCGUUGGAAUCCUUGAGAUUUUAGUGGCGCAGCUAACGCAUUAAGUUGACCGCCUGGGGAGUACGGCCGCAAGGUUAAAACUCAAAUGAAUUGACGGGGGCCCGCACAAGCGGUGGAGCAUGUGGUUUAAUUCGAAGCAACGCGAAGAACCUUACCUGGCCUUGACAUGCUGAGAACUUUCCAGAGAUGGAUUGGUGCCUUCGGGAACUCAGACACAGGUGCUGCAUGGCUGUCGUCAGCUCGUGUCGUGAGAUGUUGGGUUAAGUCCCGUAACGAGCGCAACCCUUGUCCUUAGUUACCAGCACCUCGGGUGGGCACUCUAAGGAGACUGCCGGUGACAAACCGGAGGAAGGUGGGGAUGACGUCAAGUCAUCAUGGCCCUUACGGCCAGGGCUACACACGUGCUACAAUGGUCGGUACAAAGGGUUGCCAAGCCGCGAGGUGGAGCUAAUCCCAUAAAACCGAUCGUAGUCCGGAUCGCAGUCUGCAACUCGACUGCGUGAAGUCGGAAUCGCUAGUAAUCGUGAAUCAGAAUGUCACGGUGAAUACGUUCCCGGGCCUUGUACACACCGCCCGUCACACCAUGGGAGUGGGUUGCUCCAGAAGUAGCUAGUCUAACCUUCGGGGGGACG